AUUACACAAAUAUGAAGGCGGGCUGGAACCUCUCGGGGUUACAGCCUUGCYSAAUUAUUCACCCUUGUCUUUUGCGUACUUCUUGUUUCCUUGGUGGGUUCGCCCACCACUAGGACAAACAUAAACCUUUUGUAAUUGCAAUCAGCGUCAGUAACAAAUUAAUAAUUACAACUUUCAACAACGGAUCUCUUGGUUCUGGCAUCGAUGAAGAACGCAGCGAAAUGCGAUAAGUAGUGUGAAUUGCAGAAUUCAGUGAAUCAUCGAAUCUUUGAACGCACAUUGCGCCCUUUGGUAUUCCAAAGGGCAUGCCUGUUCGAGCGUCAUUUGUACCCUCAAGCUUUGCUUGGUGUUGGGCGUCUUGUCUCUAGCUUUGCUGGAGACUCGCCUUAAAGUAAUUGGCAGCCGGCCUACUGGUUUCGGAGCGCAGCACAAGUCGCACUCUCUAUCAGCAAAGGUCUAGCAUCCAUUAAGCCUUUUUUUCAACUUUUGACCUCGGAUCAGGUAGGGAUACCCGCUGAACUUAAGCAUAUCAAUAAGCGGAGGAAAAGAAACCAACAGGGAUUGCCCUAGUAACGGCGAGUGAAGCGGCAACAGCUCAAAUUUGAAAUCUGGCUCUUUUAGAGUCCGAGUUGUAAUUUGCAGAGGGCGCUUUGGCUUUGGCAGCGGUCCAAGUUCCUUGGAACAGGACGUCACAGAGGGUGAGAAUCCCGUACGUGGUCGCUGGCUAUUGCCGUGUAAAGCCCCUUCGACGAGUCGAGUUGUUUGGGAAUGCAGCUCUAAAUGGGAGGUACAUUUCUUCUAAAGCUAAAUAUUGGCCAGAGACCGAUAGCGCACAAGUAGAGUGAUCGAAAGAUGAAAAGCACUUUGGAAAGAGAGUCAAACAGCACGUGAAAUUGUUGAAAGGGAAGCGCUUGCAGCCAGACUUGCUUACAGUUGCUCAUCCGGGUUUCUACCCGGUGCACUCUUCUGUAGGCAGGCCAGCAUCAGUUUGGGCGGUAGGAUAAAGGUCUCUGUCACGUAC
rnacentral:rRNA from 1 species